rnacentral:rRNA from 1 species
AUUGAACGCCGGCGGCAGGCCUAGCACAUGCAAGUCGAGCGGAUGAAGGGAGCUUGCUCCUGGAUUCAGCGGCGGACGGGUGAGUAAUGCCUAGGAAUCUGCCUGGUAGUGGGGGAUAACGUCCGGAAACGGGCGCUAAUACCGCAUACGUCCUGAGGGAGAAAGUGGGGGAUCUUCGGACCUCACGCUAUCAGAUGAGCCUAGGUCGGAUUAGCUAGUUGGUGGGGUAAAGGCCUACCAAGGCGACGAUCCGUAACUGGUCUGAGAGGAUGAUCAGUCACACUGGAACUGAGACACGGUCCAGACUCCUACGGGAGGCAGCAGUGGGGAAUAUUGGACAAUGGGCGAAAGCCUGAUCCAGCCAUGCCGCGUGUGUGAAGAAGGUCUUCGGAUUGUAAAGCACUUUAAGUUGGGAGGAAGGGCAGUAAGUUAAUACCUUGCUGUUUUGACGUUACCAACAGAAUAAGCACCGGCUAACUUCGUG